AUGCACUCAGCGUGGUCGUUAUCUCGCUGGUAAACACAGUGGCUCGGGCAUCGCUUCUGUCUCGUCAUAUGGGUCGUCGCAGUCCGUCGCGACACAAAGGACGCUGCGAGCUGCCGUGCAGCAGCCUGGAUGCAGCACAGCCGGCUAUAGGAAGAGGCGUCUAUGCGGCAUGGUUUGACGCGUAUGAGCCUGGAGAGGCGGAGCAGCCGCAGCAGGCUGAGGAUCUUGGUGAAGCGGACGAUCCGCAGCGCCCUCGCCG